rnacentral:rRNA from 1 species
AUUGAACGCUGGCGGCAGGCCUAACACAUGCAAGUCGAGCGGAAGAGUGGAGCUUGCUCCAUGAUUCAGCGGCGGACGGGUGAGUAAUGCCUAGGAAUCUGCCUGGUAGUGGGGGACAACGUUUCGAAAGGAACGCUAAUACCGCAUACGUCCUACGGGAGAAAGUGGGGGAUCUUCGGACCUCACGCUAUCAGAUGAGCCUAGGUCGGAUUAGCUAGUUGGUGAGGUAAAGGCUCACCAAGGCGACGAUCCGUAACUGGUCUGAGAGGAUGAUCAGUCACACUGGAACUGAGACACGGUCCAGACUCCUACGGGAGGCAGCAGUGGGGAAUAUUGGACAAUGGGCGAAAGCCUGAUCCAGCCAUGCCGCGUGUGUGAAGAAGGUCUUCGGAUUGUAAAGCACUUUAAGUUGGGAGGAAGGGCAGUAAGUUAAUACCUUGCUGUUUUGACGUUACCAACAGAAUAAGCACCGGCUAACUUCGUGCCAGCAGCCGCGGUAAUAC